CUUUACUGUAGCUUGGUAUUGUGCCCGGGCUCUGAAUGCGCAGGAUAGGUGGGAGGCUUUGAUCCAUUGUUUGUGGGUGAUGGUGAGCUAACGGUGAGAUAUCACUCUUUCAGAGCUAGGGUUUUAACGGUCAUCCGUCAUCCGGGGACCGGACAGUAUCAGGUGGGCAGUUUGACUGGGGCGGUCGUCUCCUAAAAGGUAACGGAGGCGCGCAAAGGUUCUCUCAGGCUGGUUGGAAAUCAGCCAACGAGUGUAAAGGCAGAAGGGAGCUUGACUGUGAGACCUACAAGUCGAACAGGGACGAAAGUCGGCCUUAGUGAUCCGACGGUUCUGUGUGGAAGGGCCGUCGCUCAACGGAUAAAAGUUA
rnacentral:rRNA from 1 species